UACUUUUUUUAACCUUUGAUCACCCUUAUUCAGCUUAUUUUUACCUGUACUGAAAGUUUCUUCGUUAAUUUUUUUUUGGAUUUACUGCCAAGAGUUUGUGGUGAACUUUUGAAGAUAUGCAAACAGAAAUGUCUCUCAGGUCUAAGGGACGGGAUCCCGGACGCAAUCCGAACGGUAACGGAAAAAAGCAGGAUCCGCCACAACAAACUCAAUUAAUUUUUGAAUUGUUUAUGGAGGUUUUGGAUAAAAAAUUUGCUGAACUACAACAAUUUUUUUAAAGAAGAUAUAAAGGCUUUUCAAGAGUACAUGGUUAAGACGGAUUCAGUAAUUAAACAGCAACAAGCUCUUAUUGCGUCUCUGUAAGAAGAUGCUCGGAAGCGAGAUUUGACUAUUGAAAAACUGCAACAGGAUUUAAUUUCGACCAUUAAGCUGAUGGAAGCCCUUAAAGCCAAGAGUGACGAUUUUGAGAAUCGGUCCAGAAGACAGAACUUACGUAUACUUGGUCUUCCAGACGGCAUAGAAAAAGAUGACCCUUCGAAAUAUUUUGCUCAACUUUUAAAAGAAGCGUUUCCGACGAUUUUCCCGAAUAACCCCCCUUUAUUGGAUCGGGCACAUAGAAUUCGGCGUCGAUCACCGAGUGUUACAGACAAACCUUCGGUGGUAAUUGUCCAGUUCCAUUAUAAACAUGACAAAGAAAAACUUAUAAGAGCAGCUCGUCGGGCAGGAAUGAUUAAGUUCAAAGAAUUUUGCUUCCGCCUGGUCGAAGACUUUAGUCCUGACCUUUUAAAAAGAAGGCUUCUUUUUAAACCGUUGAUGGCUGAAUGUUAUGAGAAAAAUCUGAAACCUGCGCUUCUAUACCCUGCGAAGCUUUGAAUAUCUCCGUCGAAUGCUCCACGAUAGGUUUUCAUUUCAACUUCAGAAGUGAGAAAAUAUCUGGAGGAGAACUUCCCUACUGCUACAGGCACCGGUCUCUAAUAAAUGAACAAGUCUGAUCGUAUACAGCCUGACCUGCUGAGUGUUUCCAGUAUUAUUAAUAUGGAAAGAAACAUCUGACAUUGCAGGUCCCGGACCCUUCAUCAGAAUCUAGUUUUCACCAUAUGUUAAUGUAAAGAGUGAACAGUAAAUGGUUAAUCUUACUGCGACCUGGUUUUCAUUGACUGUGGUUUAUCUCGGCGUUUAAUUCGGCGUUAUCGGUUACACCCGAACGAGAACGUUACAGGAGUUAUAAAAACAUUAUUGGAUCAGCUUAAAGUCAGGAACCUGGGGACACAAAUAAAACAUAGGAGAUUCAAGGAAUAUCUUACUCACCAGUUCGGACUGUUAUGAAUGUACCACAGCUCUGAGGGGCCGAAGGGGCGGGAGCAGCCCCCUCCUUCCGGAGAAUCGCAAGAGCACUAUUAAUUCGGGUCUCGGACCCAGGAAAAUGAGAGACAAUGUAAUGGUUUUGGCCAGGGCUCUUAGAGACACCUGUGCUAAGGGCAUGACCCUGCUACGUGACAGCUACCACGGAUAUGGACACCCUCGGGCAAUGUGGGGGUGGGGAUUGCAUCACCCUACUUUGAUGGACAUCUACAACUCUGCAAGUCAAGAUAAAAGGGGACUGCAGAAGGCGGUACCCCAGAGAGACGCACCAGAAGGACUCGAUCGCUCAACGCUCCCGUGAUAGCUGGAAGCCAGUCAAAAGCCACGUGCGCUCCGUAACUUCUCUGCCUGGGGAGCAGGUGGCUGAUAAUGCCGAGAAGGACUUCGAACUAAUAACAGGGAAACAAUGCUCCCCUGAUUCAACGGAGUUGCUUCGUCAAAGACCCGGGCAAGUUUUGUCGUUUCUCCUCACUCUCUCUGAAACACGUGAAACCCUGCGAUUCCCCAAAAAGACUGAAGCCUGCAGACUUCUGAGUGACUUUUAUAUUUCCAACGGACAAUAUAUUAUCCCCUAGACAACAGUCGAGAUUAUUUCUUAAUGAUGAUUAUUGCUAUACCCGUGCUUUAGAUUGAGUUUUGCCAAUGUAUAUGUUCUGAAUGUUUGUAUUAACCUUACUUUUGUGCCCCCUUUAUGAAUAAAACCGUUC